rnacentral:rRNA from 1 species
CGCGUAGGCGGCGCGGUAAGUCACUUGUGAAAUCUCUGAGCUUAACUCAGAACGGCCAAGUGAUACUGCAGUGCUAGAGUGCAGAAGGGGCAAUCGGAAUUCUUGGUGUAGCGGUGAAAUGCGUAGAUAUCAAGAGGAACACCUGAGGUGAAGACGGGUUGCUGGGCUGACACUGACGCUGAGGCGCGAAAGCCAGGGGAGCAAACG